AGUGAAUAGAUACCCUGGUAGUCCUAGCCGUAAACGAUACUCGCUAGGUGUCGGCCACGGUGCGACCGUUGUCGGUGCCGUAGGGAAAGCCGUGAAGCGAGCCACCUGGGAAGUACGGCCGCAAGGCUGAAACUUAAAGGAAUUGGCGGGGGAGCACCACAACGGGUGGGGCUUGCGGUUUAAUUGGAUUCAACGCCGGAAAUCUUACCGGGACCGACAGCAAUAUGAAGGCCAGGCUGAAGACUUUGCCGGAUUAGCUGAGAGGUGGUGCAUGGCCGUCGUCAGUUCGUACUGUGAAAGCAUCCUGCUAAGUCAGGCAACGAGCGAGACCCACGCCCACAGUUGCCAGCGUACUCUCCGGAGUGACGGGUACACUGUGGGGGCCGCCGCUGCUAAAGCGGAGGAAGGAAUGGGCAACGGUAGGCCAGUAUGCCCCGAAUAUCCCGGGCUACACGCGAGCUACAAUGGUUGGUACAAUGGGUAUCUACCCCGAAAGGGGUAUGGUAAUCUCCUAAAUCCAAUCUUAGUCCGGAUUGAGGGCUGCAACUCGCCCUC
rnacentral:rRNA from 1 species